UACGUAGGUGGCAAGCGUUGUCCGGAUUUAUUAGGUUUAAAGGGUGCGUAGGCGGGCAGGUAAGUCAGUGGUGAAAUCUCCGAGCUUAACUCGGAAACUGCCAUUGAUACUAUUUGUCUUGAAUAUUGUGGAGGUAAGCGGAAUAUGUCAUGUAGCGGUGAAAUGCUUAGAUAUGACAUAGAACACCAAUUGCGAAGGCAGCUUACUACACAAUGAUUGACGCUGAGGCACGAAAGCGUGGGGAUCAAACAGG
rnacentral:rRNA from 1 species